GGAAUCAAUUCUUUGGCGUUUGGGAUUAAUGCGCAUAUUUGAGGAUACCUAUGUUUUCAACGACCUCCAUCUCAUAGCCCUUUCAUUCUAGUAUUCAAUAAAUUCAACUGUUGAUAGUGGUGUGGAUAACAGCAUCGAAUUUCUACGUGCUAAUCAGACCAAAUUAGCUCGUGGAGGGUAAAAAUUGAAGCUAGCAAUUGUGAAAACGGAGGCAAGAACUGUGAAGAAGAGAAAAUUGAACAGGAGAAUCAGCAUUCGCCUGCAUGGUCGACGCUUCUUAUCUUCCACUUUGAAUUAAUGCAUGCACUCCUCCUUUUGCCGAUUAUAUCGUCCCACUUUUGUUACAUGCAGGUCGAGCAGCUGGCGUGUUUUAUCACCUGGACUCCAUCAAGCUCUUGCAGCGGCCAAUGGAUAAGCGACGAGAAACCAUAUGGUAUUUCUGGCUGCCCAAAAUCUCGCCUCUAAACAUCAUCGAUGAAGGCGAACAUGUCUUUCUUUCGAAAUACACGGCAGGAAUAGCAUGAUCGAGUUGGACCUACAGCACAGUACUAUGCCGUGUUUACCAAAUUGCCAGCUUCGGAAACCUUACCUAGCGUACAGACUCUGUAACAGCAUCACCUAUAUCGUGAGGGGGAAAAUAAGGAUAAACCCCAAAGACGAGCAAAAUGCUCCUUGGAAACUGAGCUGACCAAUCCAGAGAGACGGACUGGAGUGAAAUUGGUGAUAGUCGAACCAUAGAGCUGCGUAAAAUACGAUUCGACGUGACGUGACGGUUCUGAUCUAAGACUUAUAUCAUUUUCGCAGUAUAUUGUCCAAUGAAGAUAGGUCGAUAGAGAGCCUGUCCCCUCACAUCACCCAUAAGCAGCAGUGAUUUCUUUAUUGUCUCGCAGAUAUAUCUCUCACAAUACGACUCGCCUGAAUAAUAAAUAGAUGCACGGGUGUUUUAUUACAUGG
rnacentral:sRNA from 1 species